GGGCCUGCGGAAGGAUCAUUAUCAAUUUUACAGUCCUAGGAUAGGGGUAAAAACCCUAUCCUAUGCUGUUCAACCCUUUGUCUUUUGCGUACUGUAUGUUUCCUCGGCGGGUUCGCCCGCCGAUAGGACACUUCAAAACCUUUUGUAAUUGCAAUCAGCGUCAGAAAAACUAUAAUAGUUACAACUUUCAACAACGGAUCUCUUGGUUCUGGCAUCGAUGAAGAACGCAGCGAAAUGCGAAAAGUAGUGUGAAUUGCAGAAUUCAGUGAAUCAUCGAAUCUUUGAACGCACAUUGCGCCCCUUGGUAUUCCAUGGGGCAUGCCUGUUCGAGCGUCAUUUGUACCCUCAAGCUCUGCUUGGUGUUGGGUGUUUGUCCCGCCUUCGCGCGUGGACUCGCCUUAAAGUGAUUGGCAGCCGGAAUGAUUCUGGGGAACGCAGCACAACUGCAGCCUCCAUCUCACGCCGAGCGUCCAGUAAGCCUAUUUUCCACGUUUGACCUCGGAUCAGGUAGGGAUACCCGCUGAACUUAAGCAUAUCAAGAG
rnacentral:rRNA from 1 species